rnacentral:rRNA from 1 species
GAUGAACGCUAGCGGCAGGCCUAAUACAUGCAAGUCGAGCGGCAAGUCGAGGAGUAAUCUGAGACCUAGAGCGGCGUACGGGUGCGUAACGCGUAUGCAACCUACCUCAUACAGGGGGAUAGCCCGGAGAAAUCUGGAUUAAUACCCCAUAGCACAGCACAAGGGCAUCUGCGAGCUGUUAAAGAUUCAUCGGUAUGAGAUGGGCUUGCGUCUGAUUAGCUAGUUGGCGGUGUAACGGACCACCAAGGCGACGAUCAGUAGGGGUUCUGAGAGGAAGGUCCCCCACACUGGCACUGAGAUACGGGCCAGACUCCUACGGGAGGCAGCAGUAGGGAAUAUUGGGCAAUGGACGAGAGUCUGACCCAGCCAUGCCGCGUGCAGGAAGAAGGCCUUCUGGGUUGUAAACUGCUUUUAUCUGGGAAGAAAAGGCCCAUGCGUGGGACAUUGCCGGUACCAGAUGAAUAAGCACCGGCUAACUCCGUGCCAGCAGCCGCCGUAA